GGAUUCCCCUAGUAACUGCGAGUGAAGCGGGAAGAGCUCAAAUUUUAAAUCUGGCGGUUGUUGACCGUCCGAGUUGUAAUCUAAAGAAGUGUUUACCUGUGCUGGACCGUGUACAAGUCUCCUGGAAUGGAGCGUCACAGAGGGUGAGAAUCCCGUCUUUGACACGGACUGCCUGCAUGCUCAAGGUGGGCUCUCAAAGAGUCGAGUUGUUUGGGAAUGCANCUCAAAAUGGGUGGUAAAUGCCAUCUAAAGCUAAAUAUUGGCGAGAGACCGAUAGCGAACAAGUACCGUGAGGGAAAGAUGAAAAGAACUUUGGAAAGAGAGUUAAACAGUACGUGAAAUUGCUGAAAGGGAAACGCUUGAAGUCAGUCACGUUGGCUAGAAAUCAGCCUUGCUUUUGCUUGGUGUACUUUCUGGUUUGACGGGUCAGCAUCAAUUUCGAUUGUCGGAUAAAGUCUUUGGGAAUGUGGCAUCUUUUUUGAUGUGUUAUAGCCCAUUGUCGCAUACGGCGGUUGGGAUUGAGGGAUUCAGCACGCCGCAAGGCCGGGUAUUUAUACCACGACUCUCGUGCUUAGGAUGCUGGCAUAAUGGCUUUAAUCGACCCGUCUUGAAACACGGACCAAGGAGUCUAACAUGCCUGCGAGUGUUUGGGUGGAAAACCCAUGCGCGCAAUGAAAGUGAAAGUUGAGAUCCCCCUUCAAACAGGGGAGCAUUGACGCCCGGACCACACCUUCUGUGACAGAUCUGCGGUAAAGCAUGCAUGUUGGGACCCGAAAGAUGGUGAACUAUGCCUGAAUAGGGUGAAGCCAGAAGAAACUCUGGUGGAGGCUCGUAGCGAUUCUNACGUGCAAAAUC
rnacentral:rRNA from 1 species